UGAGUCAGGCUUGUCCACCUGGGGACAGCGCUGGGAGGUGAGGCCGAGGGCGAAUGGCUCUGCAGGACGGGAGGUGCAAGGCAGGUAGGCGACCGGUUGUCCCUCAGAGCGCCCUCCACACAGGAAACAAAAGCAAAAGGAGGUCGGCUCCCUUACUCUCUCCCCGCGGCACAAGUUACAGUCCUCGCGGGUGGGGGUCCAAUAGACAGGCUCUCCACUGUUUCUUUUUAUCGACGCGGUCUAGGGAGUGGCUUGGGGUUUCCAGAGGCAGGAUUGGGACCCGGAAACUCCACCUCGAUCUUGACCAAAUCUUUUCUGGUUUGGCGAUACCUAGAUACUAGGAAGGCCUCUCCCGGGGCACCGGCUUCAAGGAGUUCAAAUGCACCUCCUUAAAUCUGUGCUGAGAGCGAAACCACUGAAAGCUACACCCAAGCCGGCUUGAAUUUCCUUCAAGAUUUGACUCAGCUAUCACCAACUCAAAGGAUCUACCCACACCCUCUGUCCCAGCGUUCUCUAUCUUUAAUGAUAUAUUAGGCUUGUGGUAUUGGCUGACUACAGUGUAAGAACUAACCAUGGUUAGCAAUACCUUAAGACUUGUUUGGUUUUGCAUAUUUUCUUUUACAAUUUAUACUUCUACUUGUAUAAGUCAUAUAACAUUGAUUCAUGUAUUGGGCAGUUUUUUGUUGCUAUAACAAAAAUCUCUAAGAAAAUAACUAAAGAGAGGAAAGGUUCGAUUUUGGUUUGUGGUCCAUGGCUGCCUGGGCCUCUGGCUUUGGGCCUGAGGCAGGGCUGAGUGUCAAGAUGGAAAGCCCAUUAUGGUGCAAAUCUGGUUACAAUAAAUUAGAAUUUUAAUGUUAGCAACUUCUUGUCUUUAUUGAUUACAUGGCGAGCACAUGAAUGCCACGGGCUUUUAUUUUUAAGUGAAGCUAUGGUGGUGACAUCUUAGUCACCAACUAAACAUGAUAUUAAAAUUUGAUAUUUAUAUACUACGGUUGGCACGUAUCUGGGGAGAACUGAGGAUACUAAUUUAGCAUGCUAUUAAUAAGUCUGGCAGCUCAAAAAUCCCUGGCAAACACACUUAGGCAGAUAAUUGGAUUUCCCCCAAAUUUCAAAGGCUAAUUUCUUUUUUCAAGAUUUAAUAUUUUUAUUGUCUUGGAGAAUUUCAUGCAAUAUAUUUGGAUCAUACUCAUUCCCUACCCCUCUUCUCCCCUUAACUCUUCACAGACGCAUACCCACCUCCCCAUUCCUACCUCUCUUCCCCUCUUCUUAAAUUUUUAUCCUUAAAAGCUAAUUUCUUACCACAUAUCAACUGUUAUGUUGGGGUAGUUGAGGUAUUGACUACAGUCUUUAUUGCUAUAUAAUUAUAAACGGGUGCUCUUUUUUUUUCAAUGAGGGUGGUCAGUGAGAGAAGGUUAACCUGGAUAAAGCCACUUACUACCACCUGCUGACCUGAGUUCAGUUCCCCAGACCCUCAUAGGAAAAGGAAGCAAUUGAUUCCCCAAAGUUAUCCUCUGGCCCAUGCACUGAGCUUCACAGGGGAGUUACAGGGUUAAGUAUAGUCAACAAACAGAAAUACAGCAAGACCACUGAGAAGCUGCCUGGCAUUCGUAUGUACAUCCACUAGGACCUGGCUCAGCAGAGAGUGACAGAAACCAAUGGUGACAUUAAAAUAGCAUCCUCUUUCCCACAGAUCCAUGGGCAGUCCAGAGCUGGUACGGAAGCAGUUGUCAUUUACCCAGACUCCUGCUAUUUUGAGUUCUGUCUGUUCUCAAAGUGGGGUUUCUAUGCGAGGGCCUAACUGGCUGUCACAGCAUGGGUCACCGUAUCCAUACUCCAGCUGGUAGGAGGAAAGGGAGGCAGAGCAGAGGACAAAGCUGAUGUCUGGAAGAAGUCGCACACAGUCAGACGUAACGGUGCAUGCUUAUAACCUUGACUCCUGGGAGACUGAGACAGGAAAAUGGCGAUUUUAGGCUGGACUAGAACACACACCAAGAUCUACCAAAGCCUGGGAUAUGAAGUGGUCCCUUUGAAAGGGUCGUUGGGAUUCCCAAGGAGGUCGUGACUCACAGAUUGAAGCCCACUGCCUUAAACACACUACGACAUGGAGGGAACCUGAAGAAAACAUUCUAGGUGAAAGAAGAAAUCUCAUACAACCACACAUUAUAGGGUUCCUGUUAAAUGAUGUGUGGGAAACAAAUCCCUUAACAGGGGUAGAUUUCUGGUGAGUUAGAAGGGUGAGGAGGAGUAAGAGGUUCUAACAGCUUGUGGCCAAGUUUCUCCACUACCUAGCCUUAAGAAACUCCCGCCAUAUUAAGGAAAACUAAAUAGGCCACAUGCACAAACACGCACAAGUCCAUAACUUCAAUUUAUUAUAAUUUAUUAUUUGUGCUUUGUGAGCAUUGGUGUUUUGCUUGCAUGUAUGUCUGUGUGACAGUGUCAGAUCCUUUGUAACAGGAGUUACAGACAGUUGUGACCUGUCAUGUGGCUGCUGGGAUUGAACAUGGGUCCUCUGGAAGAGCAGUCUUAAUUGCUGAGACAUCUCUCCACUCCCCCAUAACUUCAUCACACAUGCUGUUUUGAACUACAAAUUGGUAAAUAAGUAUUAAGGGGUUUUGUUGUUGUUUGUUUUGUUUCUCUGUGUAGCCCUGGCUAUCCUAGAACACACUCUAUAGACCAGGCUGACCUCAGACUCAUAGAGAUCCACCUGCCUCUGCCUCCUGAGUACUGGGAUUAAAGGUAUGCUCCAUCACCACCCGGCAAAAUAUUGAUUUUUUAAUGUAAAAGCAGGCAUGUGUAUGCCCAUUGCCAAUUGCAUGUUCAGGGGUCUUCAAUGUUAUUAGUAUCACGUUCUUCCUACCCCACAGUAAGCAUAUAUAUAUAUGUGUAUAUAUACAUAUAUGUGUACAUAUACACAUAUGUACACAUAUAUAUGUAUAUAUAUAUUUAUGUGUGUAAUAUUUUUAUUUAUUGUUUGGGAAUUUCACAUCCUGAACUCCAACCACAUUUACUUCCCAGUCCUCCCAGAUCCACAUUGUCACCUUUGUGACCUCCCCCAGAAGAGGAAGAGGAGGAAGAGAAGAAGGAGCAAUCUAAUUUGUGUUGUCUAUAUAUUCACUGCAGCAUGGGCAAACUCCCAUGGCCAGCUCCUAAGCGUGAUUGCUAGGAUUUAACAGAAACUGUCCAUCUAUAUUGGCUAUGUACCUCCAGUUCCUCCUAAAGCCCUUGCAAACUCCGGAGUCUUUUGUCAUUUCUCUAUGACUUCUGGAGUCAGCAGGUGUGUCCUUUGUCAUCCCUACUUAAGUCCCUUCCUGUCUUGUCUGAACUUGUGCCAAUUCAGUGACUCAGAAUAGACCUUUAGUAGGACUCAAAGAUGAGCCAGUCACACCAGGAAGGCUGCGGACAUGACUAGAGGGUUGGGCUGUCAACUGCCAUCAACGAGUUGCUUUUCUUAUUGCUGUGACUUAAGGGAGAAAGGAUCAGGUCUGGCUGAUAGUCUCAGGGAAUAUGGUUCGUCAGGUAAAUGGAGGGUAUCUCUCGGUAGUUGUGGGAGCUUCCAAUGGUAUCUCCUCCCCAUAUUUUAGUGGAUUAGAAAGCAGGGAAGGGGAAACAGACAAGAUCUCCUAAGUAAAUUAGGAGCGUGGGGGGGGGGGGUGAAGGGGAGCGAGGAGGGGAAUAAAAGGACCA